GAGACCUGUGCAAAGGAAGUGUGCUGGCUGGGCUGUAGCAGGAUCCCUCAGAGUGGAAUGAGCCUGAGGAGAGGGCAGGAGCUUCAUUCCACACUCACUCCCAGCAUGAGUGGAGCAAAUGAAUGCUAACUUCUUCAGGUCACAGGACACUGCUGAGGAAACAUGGGCAUUUGGGGUUUAAGAAGAGUUAAAAUGAUGGGGAACACGUAUGAGGCCAGAGAGAGGAGAAAAUGAUGUUUCCAGCAACGACAUCCUGCUGUGUCCCAAGGAGAAGGCAGGGAAGUGUGUGCUUGAUGGCCAGUGGCUCAAUAAUCACAGCAGUAAGAUCAAGGAUUAUUCCAACAUGGAGGGUCUCAUCCAACAAUCCCCGGGGUGACUUGGAGCUCUAGUCUGACGGUCUCAUGCUGGCAAAUUCUCCUCUCUAUCCCUCGCAGAAAAAAAGGCACUUACUCCUUCUGGAAUUUAUCUCAGAUAUCCUAGCAUUUACUUAGAGAAUUACAACCCUUAAACUGUUCAGUGUGGUCUCACAGACCAGCUCAAAGACAUGACUCGUCUGGCAGAUCAUGCAACCCCAAUUCUGUAAGCUUUCAUUUCUUUCAUUGUAAACGGCACCAGUGAUAGUUAUAUUGCAGGGGGGUUGUCUUGACUGUACAUAAUAAGGAUCCCUCUCUCAACUGCACCUUGCUACUUACUGGAAGUCUCUAGGUGGUGAUAUGAUGGACAGUGGCCCGACCUAUGUUCUCUCAGUCCCCAGACAAGUCUUUAACUCAUUAAGAAACAGUGUCAAAUAAAGAUUCCGGAGCACAAGUCCUGGGAUCAGGUGGGAAUGAAAGUAUAAGCACAACCCAUAACAGCUUCCUGGAAAGCCCUGGAAGAGCCUCAGAGAAGGCGAGCCUGAGUCUGGGAGCCCAGCUGGGGACUGGCUGUGGUUGCCCCUGUUGGGAAGGAUGUGGUGGGCACAGACCCUGGGAGGGGAUUUUGUGCAUAUUGUCUCUACAGUUCUA